AUACGUAGGGUGCGAGCGUUAAUCGGAAUUACUGGGCGUAAAGCGUGCGCAGGCGGUUUUGUAAGACAGGCGUGAAAUCCCCGGGCUCAACCUGGGAAUGGCGCUUGUGACUGCAAGGCUAGAGUGCGUCAGAGGGGGGUAGAAUUCCACGUGUAGCAGUGAAAUGCGUAGAGAUGUGGAGGAAUACCGAUGGCGAAGGCAGCCCCCUGGGACGAGACUGACGCUCAUGCACGAAAGCGUGGGGAGCAAACAGGAUUAGAAACCCGGGUAGUCC
rnacentral:rRNA from 1 species